rnacentral:rRNA from 1 species
GUGCAAUCGCUGAAGUGGAACCGGAUAGAGUUAACAUAACUUGGUACCUAUGUUCUCUAUAGUCGCUUAGCUGUGGCUCUGGGGAGUGGACGCUACCUGUUGUUGCACUGACUGCGUUGAUCGUGCUUUCCGAACGGUGUAGUGUUGCCCACUUUGUGGUGUCUUGCUUACUGGGAGGUUUGUCAUGGUUAACGUAUAGUCUUAGUCCUGAGGGAGUCAGUGUGAAAGUUAACCACCUAUCCGACCCGUCUUGAAACACGGACCGAGGAGUGUAAGUUAUACGCGAGUCAAGGAGUGGUGAAAACUCUCGGGGCGGAAUGAAAGUAAAGACUAGUUAACUAGUUGACAUGGGAUCCGCUCUUCGGAGCGGCGCACCAUGGCCCUGUCUUGUCUGCUUGCAGAUGGGCAGCGAUAGAGCGUAUAGCUUGCGACCCGAAAGAUGGUGAACUAUGCUUGAGCAGGACGAAGCCAGAGGAAACUCUGGUGGAAGUCCGUAUCGGUUCUGACGUGCAAAUCGAUCGAUAGACUUGAGUAUAGGGGCGAAAGACUAAUAGAACCGUCUAGUACUG